UCCAUUCACCUGCAACUCCACAGUAGCUCUCAGAAGCAAAGAAUGUUCCGUUCCUUCUCCAACUAGUUUAUAUAAAUCCUUAAAAAUCCCAGCUUUUUUGCCGUGUCUGCUGCUCAGAUAUUGGAGCUUAGAGCUGCGGACAGGGAGGGCGACAAUGGGGGGAGUCACUUCAUCAAUGGCGGCGAAAUUCGCCUUCUUCCCGCCAAACCCACCUUCCUACAAGCUAGUUAUGGACCCCGCCACCGGGCUGCUGCUCCUCGAUCCGUUCCCUCACCGGGAGAACGUCGACGUCCUCAGGCUCAAGACCAGGAGGGGCAACGAGAUUGCCGCCGUCUACGUCCGGUACCCUAUGGCCACGUCGACCCUUUUGUACUCUCACGGUAACGCCACCGACAUCGGCCAGAUGUAUGAGCUCUUCAUCGAGCUCAGCAUCCACUUGAAAAUUAACGUCAUGGGGUACGACUACUCUGGUUAUGGUCGGUCAUCGGGAAAGCCCAGCGAGCAUAACACUUACGCAGAUAUUCAAGCUGCAUAUAACUGUCUUUUAGAGAACUACGGUGCCAAGCAAGAAGACAUCAUUCUUUAUGGCCAAUCGGUUGGGAGUGGCCCCACUGUGGAUCUUGCCACUCGUUUGCCACGUCUUAGAGCUGUUGUUCUUCACAGCCCAAUUCUUUCUGGAUUGAGGGUCAUGUAUCCUGUUAAGCGCACAUACUGGUUCGAUAUCUAUAAGAACAUUGACAAAAUCCCAAUGGUGAGGUGUCCUGUGCUGGUUAUUCAUGGAACCUCAGACGAAGUUGUGGAUUUCUCACAUGGGAAGCAUCUCUGGGAACUGUGCCAAGAGAAAUAUGAACCUUUGUGGCUGAAAGGGGGGAACCACUGUAACUUGGAACGAUUUCCGGAGUAUAUCAGGCAUCUCAAAAAAUUCAUUCUCUCAGUUGAAAAGUCACCUUCUCGUCGGAGUAGUACCCGGAAAAGCAUAGACCGGACAGAAAACUCGAGGAGGAGCUCAGAUUGCUUUGAAGGCCCGAGGAAGAGCACAGACAGGAGAGAGAAGCCGAGGAAAAGCACUGACAGACCUGAGAACCUAAGGUUUCCAGACUACAGGUGUAGCAAUAUCGAGAAGCUGGAGAAACUAAAGAUCCCGUUUGACCAGGUGGAGAGGUCUCGGAGAAGUGUGGAGUACCAUGAGAAGCCGAGGAGAAGUAUCGAUCAUCAGCUCGAGAAGGGGAGGAAAAGCGUCGAUUGGUUGGACAGAAUACGAUAAACCAAUGAAGAAGCAAACACCGUCAAAGUCAGUCAUUAUUUGGGGCGAUUUAGUGGGAGAAUAACAGAUAACAUGAGAACAAAGAUAGAUAUGCCCAUUGGGUUUUCUGGACGUCCGAUCAAACUGCCUGGAAAACUGGUAAAAGAGUGUGAAAGCAUCCUUCAGGAGUUUGUUUCUAUUGAAGGAAAUCAGGUGAUGAGCAAAAACCUUUUGGAAAUGAGACUUGCAGGACAAGCAUCUUUCGGUUUCAAGAUGAUUAAGGCACGCUAUCCAUCCAGAGGGCCUAUUGGAAUGUGGCCCUACACAUUUCUUCCUUCUCCACUCCUAGAAAGUGAAUGUUUGUUUGCAAUGAUAGUAUAACACGUCCUUUGAAGAAAAGGCAUGACCGAAUCAUGGACAUCCGAAAAGCUUGCAAUUCUCAUUGGACCCCUACAAGCGUGCAAUUGCGAAUACUUGGGAUUAUCAGGCGUUAUAACUUAUAUACGGCUCAGCAAGAUCAGUUAGUUCUAGUUUUCAUGGCAAAGACGUGAUAGUACUAUGGAUAUGUUCCAUGUUCUGCGUCAUAAGAGUUGUUUCCUUUAUAACUGAUUAACUGGUCGGUGCCCAAUAUAUUACGCUAUCCUAGUCCUA